CUCAAGAUGGUGGCAAAAAAAGGCGGGCAAAGCGGAGGACCGCGGUCCGUCUACUGGACUGCCCGCACGGAACACCGGCGCCGGCGCGGCCCGAGCGGGAUUUUCUGUGGCGUUUCAGGCAGGCCCUGCGAUGACGGCGUCGGCCUCCGAGCGCAGCCGAAGCGUGCGCCCCGAGGAGCCGGGCAUUCUUAGGAGAAUGCAGCACAACACAGCAACCCCAACAGUGAGACCACACCGCAACCCUCCCGGUGUGACAAGACAGCAACCCUCACACCAGGACAAUGACAGAACCCUCAGAGGACAAGACGACCCACUGCAAAAAGAUAGGGACGACAUCUGAGGGCUAGAGGUAGAGUUUGGAGGCUGAACAUGUUUUUUUGAGGUGCCACAGCCUUGGACUCAGGAUGAAGCUGGAGACUCGAGGACCCAGGCACACACAGGAGAGGUUGACCGAGAGGCUGACAGGGAUCCCAGGGCCCUCUGAGGCAGACUCAUUUCAGGUCCAACGUGGAUUCACCUCACCGGUCAUCCAAAAGAUAAGUUGGGGGCCACAGCCUGGAGAUGGGAUGAUAGGAGAGUAGUGGCUUGGAAAUUCCUAGACAGAUUUAAAAAUUUGCAGAGGGUGAAGAGAUGUCCUCUAAGGGGCCCCGUGGGAUAGCUAAAGGGAGAGGCUCUGCUUUUGAUUGCAGCUGUAGGGUAUGCGGUGCAGAGCAGUUCCGGUCUGUGUUGUGUUGUUAGGUGUCCUGUGUUACCUAGUGUGUCUUUGGGGUCCCUUGGAUCCAAUAUCUCUGCCUUUUCCCCUCGAGGCCCUUAGCAAAAUCAUCAGCUGUCAUGUCUAGGUUCUCAAACGCUGGCGCUUCUCAGCAGGAUGCCAACAUCAUUUGUUCUUUUACCGGCGGGCUCAGCCGCAUCUCGAGUCACAUCUCAGAAGCAUUGAGUCAGACGUCUUUUGAGGCCUUGUUCCCGGCUGUAUCAGCAUCCAUCCUUUCCAGCCGUGAGCUGUAAAGUCCUGGGGCACGUAAGAUUGUAUGAUAUGGAGAAGAUUCUAAAUGUAUCAUUGUCUCACAGCCGCCUUGAUCAUCGUGACCAGCAGGUCUUAUAACAGGUCACUCUGUUCCAGUCUUUUCUUCUGCUCCUUAGAGGAGCUGUCUCCAUCCACUGUCCCCUGAGCAUCGGUCAUCUCUUUUGGCAUCCUUGUAGUCCUUGCCACUACUUAUUCUUGCCAGGAACUCUUUUCUCAUCAUUGUGUCACAAUUUGUAGUAUAAAGCGAUGUUUGUGUUUAGAGACCCCAUUGUUUGUCACGUCCCGUCCUGUGUCACGGGUGUGUGCACAUAUUUGUGCCGGAGCCGCUCUGCCCUGCUGCGUAGCCUGGUGGGAUAAGACAAGUCCUGGGGACUUGAAAUUUGUUGUGUGGGCUGUAGUUGGACUCUAGAUGGUAUUCCUAGAUUGACACUGGAUGUCUGGGGCUGUGAAGGUAUCCUGCAGCCCUUUGACUUUUGUUCUAACUUUCUUUCAGAUGCAGAAAGAUAGAAUCCAUGGCGAAGCACCCCAUUCCGGGUGCGGGGGUUCGGCCGAGCAGGUCAGUCACGGUUUGUGUUUGCAGAGGAAGCGUAAAUGGUGACUCUGUUACAGCACUGUUCCUUGUCUUUAUUCUUAGGAAGUCAAGCCGGAUAGCAGCAAUCAAGUUGAAGAGGGCAAGGCAGUCCACUCGGAGUAUGCCAGGCCCCCGUCACCAGCCAGCUGAUGGACAGGGUUUGCUGCUUUCAUGAGCCCUGUGGACGUCGGACAGGACUCGGUGAUGAAGCCUUCGCUUUUUCUGUUUAAAGGUGGCACCCGGGUAGCCUUUGGCAAUGGCGGAAGAGUUGCGGCGGACCCUGCGACGACGUUGGCCUCCGAGCACGGCGCAGUCAUCCCACCCGAGGACGCGGGCAUUCUUAGGAGAGCGGUGACUACGAGACAACAGCCCGGUGACAGCAGGAACUUCCCAGAUGGCGAGGCGGCCUUCCUUUGCACCUGACACGGACCGGGCUCCCCAGAUGUCAGAGAUAAGUAGAGGGCUGUGACCCAGAGAGGGGAUGAAAGUGGGGUGCUGGGUCAGGACUCAC